rnacentral:miRNA from 1 species
CUUGAACUCGCGUCUUGGCU